GCUUUUGGCGCGGCCUUUGUCUCUGGCUGCAUCCCGAGCUUCAGGUCUCGUCUUCACUGGUCUGUGGCCUAUUCUCCUGGAACCCCAGCCUCUGUGGCCCUGUGACCUGCAGGUAUUGGGAGAUCCACAGCUAAAACCCCAGGACCCCCUGGAAGCCUAGAAAUG
rnacentral:antisense_RNA from 1 species